GACGGGGGGGGCAAGUGUUCUUCGGAAUGACUGGGCGUAAAGGGCACGUAGGCGGUGAAUCGGGUUGAAAGUGAAAGUCGCCAAAAAGUGGCGGAAUGCUCUCGAAACCAAUUCACUUGAGUGAGACAGAGGAGAGUGGAAUUUCGUGUGUAGGGGUGAAAUCCGUAAAUAUUGUAAAGACAUUCAAUAGGUGAAAACGACUAACUAUAUUAUUACUGACGCUGAGAGGCAAAAGCAUGGGGAUCAAACAGG
rnacentral:rRNA from 1 species